GACGACCGCUGGCGGCGCGCUUAACACAUGCAAGUCGAACGGAAAGGCCCUGCUUUUGUGGGGUGCUCGAGUGGCGAACGGGUGAGUAACACGUGCGUAACCUGCCCUCGACUUUGGGAUAACUUCAGGAAACUGGGGCUAAUACCGGCUCGGAGCUCCUGCCGCAUGGUGGGGGUUGGAAAGUUUCGGCGGUUGGGGAUGGACUCGCGGCUUAUCAGCUUGUUGGUGGGGUAGUGGCUUACCAAGGCUUUGACGGGUAGCCGGCCUGAGAGGGUGACCGGCCACAUUGGGACUGAGAUACGGCCCAGACUCCUACGGGAGGCAGCAGUGGGGAAUAUUGCACAAUGGGCGGAAGCCUGAUGCAGCAACGCCGCGUGCGGGAUGACGGCCUUCGGGUUGUAAACCGCUUUCGCCUGUGACGAAGCGUGAGUGACGGUAAUGGGUAAAGAAGCACCGGCUAACUACGUG
rnacentral:rRNA from 1 species